CUUCACACGGGUACUCAGUGAACACCACCAUACUUUUCCAGCGAACCUUAAAUCCAACCACCUCCAUCGUCUCGAAUCAGCCUUCAGCCAACGAAUUUAGAGACUUUGAUUACUUUCAGCGUACGCCCAAAAUUGCAGUUUCAUGCACCGUUCAUCCACUCACAAGCUCGGUCUUCUUCCUCCUCCGUCGCCGGAGCUCCUCCUCGUCACCGUUCAUCGUUUCUUUGCGCGGACUCACUCGGUCGCAGCUUCCCCGGCUUUCACCCAUCGCCAACUAGACCUCCGCUGAUCCUUCUGCGACGGUUGACGGUCGUCUGAAGCAUCCCUGGCGAGCGCGGCGAAGACCCUUAUUCUGGUUCCGGUUUUUCAUGGUCGACCUCCACUAACAACGGUUACCGACCGCGGUUGAGGCGCGCGGGCUUAUAUAUGAGGUGAUGAGAUUAAGAUCCGAGCGACCCGGAAUUGAGCUUGAGCCAUUUGGUAAACAGGGGCUGCGAGGAAAAUAAGAUUUUUCUUGGAAAAAGAAAAUGGAAUUGAGCUGAAUUUCCACUGGUGACACAAGGGGGGAGAGAUAUAUAUUUGAUAUUGACAUGUCACGCCUUGAACAACAACAUUAGACACAAAGUUAACGGAGACCAAAUCUGAAUAUAGAGUCAAAAUGGAUCGAAGUUGAACUGCGAUCAAAGAAGCAUUAUAAUCACAAGCUUUCAGUACAUAAUAAAGCAGGAAGGCGUGAAGGGACUGUACCACGGUCUCUCACCAACAAUUCUGGCUCUUCUUCCGAACUGGGCUGUCUUCUUUCCGGUAUACGAGAGACUUAAGGGCCUAGUCCAUUCAAAUGGUUGCUUUUCAAAGUAUCAUUUACUUAUUGACAAUGGCAAUCAAGCAAGCACUGGUGCCAUCAUGAUUGCUGCUGUGGGCGCUGGAGCUGCCACAGCAAUCACUACAAAUACUUUAUGGGUUGUAGUAAUCAGAUUUCAAGUGAGCUGAUCAGUGGGUAUUCUGCCUUAGUGAGUUCCUCUAUGAUGAGAAUUUCAGACAAAAAAAAUAAUUGCAUGACGCCAAGUUUCAGUUAUUCUUGAUAUCUCAUAUUUGACCUUGUCGCUUGGCUUGGGUAACUUCAGAAUAUUACCCCAGAAGUCACAAUAUAACCGCAGAAACUGCAAUAUAAUUUGUGCAAAUGAUUUUUUCAGCUCUCUUGCUUAUGUUUGGUAAACAUUGCAAAAUUUUUUUAUGAGAAAGUUGAGAUGUUACGGAGAAUAGUAAUUCCAUGUUUGUCUUCUCUGUCUAAAGUCCUGCAGUCUAUUUGCAAUGGGCAUAUAUCCUCUAUGUGCUGAGUGAAGGAUCAUCUUUUAAGACUUUACCUAUGAAAUUCAGUUGCCUUUCUUAUUGUAGACACAGGGUAAGAGACCAGAAGUGGUUCCUUACAUAAGCGUAUGUUCUGCUUUAAGCAGGAUUGCAUGUGAGGAAGGUCUCUGUGGUUUGUAUAGUGGCAUUCUCCCAUCACUGGUUGGACUAAGUCACGUUGCAAUUCAGUUUCCAGCAUAUGAGAAGAUCAGACAUUUUUUUUUUGGUCGAAAGAAAGAUCAGACAUUACAUAGUGAGAAAAGACAAUACAACUGUCGAUCAACUUGGCCACGGAAGUGUAGCCAUUGCUUCCACAGUAUCUAAGCUCACUGCCUCCAUCAUAACUUAUCCACUUGAGGUAUUUUUUCUUUUUCUGGACUGGAGAGUUAUAUUGUUUCAUAAUUCUCUCUUUUAAAGGAAGUAUUUCAGAAGGAGGGUAUUUCUAAAUUUUAUCGAGGCUGUGCCACAAAAUUACUGAGGACUACUCCGUACACCAUUGUUAUGUUUACCAGUUAUGAGACGGUACAUAGAUAUUUGCAACAAGUAUUACCUCCAGACAAAAUACAUGCACUAUCUAUUCCCAUUCCCAUUCCCAAUCCCAUCGCCAACCAGAAACCCAAGGAGCUGAAGUGGGAGUAAAUAGUGGAGUGUCCCAGCGACCCACUCAUGUAAGCCAACCCACUUAGCUCUAUGUGGAAAAAAAGAGCAGCUAGCUGCAGAAGUUAAUUAGAUUUUCCGAUGUAAGGCAUUUUCUGUUUUGAUAAUUGUAUUGUUUAGAAAGGAUUGUAGUCCUUCAUUUAAAUGCAGAGUUUAAUAAGCCAAUUAUCUUUUUAUUUUAUUUA